rnacentral:rRNA from 1 species
UACGGAGGGGGCGAGCGUUAUUCGGAAUUAUUGGGCGUAAAGGGCGCGUAGGCGGCUUCAUAAGUCAAAGGUGAAAUCCCUCGGCUCAACUGAGGAAGUGCAUCCGAAACUGGCAGGCUAGAGUACUAAAGAGGGUCGCGGAAUUCCCGGUGUAGAGGUGAAAUUCGUAGAUAUCGGGAGGAACACCGGUGGCGAAGGCGGCGACCUGGGUAGAUACUGACGCUGAGGCGCGAAAGCGUGGGGAGCAAACAGG